CCUACGGGUGGCAGCAGUGGGGAAUAUUGCACAAUGGGCGCAAGCCUGAUGCAGCCAUGCCGCGUGUGUGAAGAAGGCCUUCGGGUUGUAAAGCACUUUCAGCGGGGAGGAAGGCGGUGAGGUUAAUAACCUCAUCGAUUGACGUUACCCGCAGAAGAAGCACCGGCUAACUCCGUGCCAGCAGCCGCGGUAAUACGGAGGGUGCAUGCGUUAAUCGGAAUUACUGGGCGUAAAGCGCACGCAGGCGGUCUGUCAAGUCGGAUGUGAAAUCCCCGGGCUCAACCUGGGAACUGCAUUCGAAACUGGCAGGCUAGAGUCUUGUAGAGGGGGGUAGAAUUCCAGGUGUAGCGGUGAAAUGCGUAGAGAUCUGGAGGAAUACCGGUGGCGAAGGCGGCCCCCUGGACAAAGACUGACGCUCAGGUGCGAAAGCGUGGGGAGCAAACAGGAUUAGAUACCCGGGUAGUC
rnacentral:rRNA from 1 species